rnacentral:misc_RNA from 1 species
GUUUGCAAACUUUGGCUGCCUUUUUGAAGAAAACAAUAGGGAAAUAUGUCAUUAGAGAUGCUUCUCUUAAUUCAAAGUUGUUCGCUCUUGCACAGGGUUGGGGAGGAAAAGAAGAAGGCCUUGGGUUAAUUGCUUGUGCUCUGCAGGACAGCUCUGAUACAAGUGCUAAUGAGUUAGGCCGCACCUUACAUUUUGAAUUCUAUGCUACUGAAUCUUCAGAUGAGUCCAAUGCUCCCAUUGGUUUACAAAUCAUCCAUUUGCCUGACAUUGACAACA